rnacentral:lncRNA from 1 species
UUUAAUUAAAUUUGUUUUCAGUGUGACUGUACGCAACCAAAUUACUUACAUGUGUUUGAUUAAUUGUGAUCAAAUUUUUUCCUUGAUGUGACUAAAUUUGUCUUCAACGUCACUCUAUGUAAUUAGGUCAAUUUUAACCAAGACAGUAUGUGAUCAAGUCACAAUCGAUCACAAUUAACACAAAAUUAGUCACAAUCAAUCACGAUAAAUACAUAUUUGGUUACAAAGUAUCACCAAAAACAAAUGUA